GUGAUGUCAUUAUGGGGUAUUAACAUACAAUAACAUUGAACUAACAACCCAUUUCUCCUCAGCCAUCAGAUUGUAGUUCUAUUGAAGGACCAUGCUGUCCAGUAUAACAGCUAGGUUUACAAACACAGUGUGUUUCUCCCCAUCACCCAGGCUUCAGCCAUCAGAUUGUAGUUCUAUUGAAGGACCAUGCUGUCCAGUAUAACAGCUAGGUUUACAAACACAGUGUGUUUCUCCCCAUCACCCAGGCUUCAGCCAUCAGAUUGUAGUUCUAUUGAAGGACCAUGCUGUCCAGUAUAACAGCUAGGUUUACAAACACAGUGUGUUUCUCCCCAUCACCCAGGCUUCAGCCAUCAGAUUGUAGUUCUAUUGAAGGACCAUGCUGUCCAGUAUAACAGCCGUGUCUCAUACUAGGUUUACAAACACAGUGUGUUUCUCCCCAUCACCCAGGCUUCAGCCAUCAGAUUGUAGUUCUAUUGAAGGACCAUGCUGUCCAGUAUAACAGCCGUGUCUCAUACUAGGUUUACAAACACAGUGUGUUUCUCCCCAUCACCCAGGCUUCAGCCAUCAGAUUGUAGUUCUAUUGAAGGACCAUGCUGUCCAGUAUAACAGCCGUGUCUCAUACUAGGUUUACAAACACAGUGUGUUUCUCCCCAUCACCCAGGCUUCAGCCAUCAGAUUGUAGUUCUAUUGAAGGACCAUGCUGUCCAGUAUAACAGCCGUGUCUCAUACUAGGUUUACAAACACAGUGUGUUUCUCCCCAUCACCCAGGCUUCAGCCAUCAGAUUGUAGUUCUAUUGAAGGACCAUGCUGUCCAGUAUAACAGCUAGGUUUACAAACACAGUGUGUUUCUCCCCAUCACCCAGGCUUCAGCCAUCAGAUUGUAGUUCUAUUGAAGGACCAUGCUGUCCAGUAUAACAGCUAGGUUUACAAACACAGUGUGUUUCUCCCCAU